rnacentral:lncRNA from 1 species
UCACUGAUAGGACAGUUCUCAAAGGAGCAAACAGGAAAAGCGAAACAAAGCCCUGAUCUAUGUGCUGAUUUUUCUGGUACACUCCUACCAUUGCCAAUGCCUGCCUUCCUUCCUUCCUUCCUUCCUUCCUUCCUUCCUUCCUUCCUUCCUUCCUUCCGUCCUUCCUUCCCUCCCUCCCUCCCUCCCUCCUUCCUUGCUUCUCUCCUUCCUUCUUCCUUCCUUCCCUCCCUCCCUCCUUCCUUCCUUCCCUCCUUCUCUCCUUCCUUCCUUCUCUCCUUCCUUCUCUCCUUCCUUCCCUCCCUCCCUCCUUCCUUCCUUCCUUCCCUCCCUCCCUCCCUCCUUCCUUCUUUCCUCCCUCCCUCCCUCCCUCCCUCCCUCCCUCCUUCCUUCCUUCCUUCCUUCCUUCCUUCCUUCCUUCCUUCCUUCCUUCCCUUCAUUCUCUUUGAGAUGGAGUUUCGCUCUGUUGCCAGGCUAGAGUGCAGUGGCACAAUCUCGGCUCACUGCAACCUCCACCUCCCAGGUUCAAGCGAUUCUUCUGCCUCAGCCUCCGGAGCAGCUGGAAUUACAGGUUUGCAGCAUGAAUGAAUCAAUGUGUGAUGGAUGGCUACAAGAAACACACAGACCAUGUCCUGAAAUACAAUGAAGGCAACAAGCCUGGUUAGGUACUGAAAUAGUAACAGGUAUUGAAAUAGUACAGAAGCUUCUAAUCUACCAGAGAAAAUUCCCUGAGAAAUUACCAGAGAAAAGUUUGGUGUGAGGUGUUGCCUGUUGAAAAUGUCUCUAUCUCCACCACCUUUCAGAGUGAAGAAUUCUGCACCGGACCCCUAGCUUCUCAAGCCCAAGCUUGCACAUGGCAGGUACCAAUAUGAAAAAGACUUUCUGGAGCUCACAGACCCAGACUGUGCUCCUCUCUUGAAAUACUAUCUGUUUAGAACCUUCUGGCUCUUUCUCAAAAGAAACUGAUGUUUUCUAAGAUACAACUUUGACCUCUGUCUUCAACCCUAACUGUGCGGUAGAAAGCAGGGACCACAGAGGUGGUAAUGAUUUCCAAACCUAUGUGAAUAAAAUGACUCAUGAUGAAUAAAAGUGGCAUAUACUUACUGCCUUUUUUGUGAGAACUGAGACUUAACUGGUGCAUAUAGUGCUGUUUGGUAUCACAUAGAUUCAUCAAUAGGAAAGUGGCUGCAUAAAAUAUGGCCCAUCCAUCAGUGGAAUACUACACAGUCAUGAAAAAGAGUAAGUACUAGAAGAGCUGAUGCUGUAAGAUAUCUACAGCCCAUUGUCAAGUGAAAAAAAAUCUCCUUAUAGAGGCAUAAUUAGAAAUCUAUAAUAAGAAGCAGACAAUGAUUACCUCUGGGUAGUAGGAUUGUGUCUGUGUUUAUGUAUGUGUUAUAC